GAUGAACGCUAGCGGCAGGCCUAACACGUGCAAGUCGAGGGGUAACUAGAGUGAUAGCAAUAUUACUUUGGCUAGACCGGCGCACGGGUGCGUAACACGUAUGCAACCUACCUUAUACUGGGGAAUAACUUCGAGAAAUCGGCGCUGAUACCCCAUAACAUUGCGAAGAGGCAUCUCUUUGCAAUUAAAGCUCCGGCGGUAUAAGAUGGGCAUGCGUCCAAUUAGCUAGUUGGUGAGGUAACGGCUCACCAAGGCUACGAUUGGUAGGGGUUCUGAGAGGAUGAUCCCCCACACUGGUACUGAGACACGGACCAGACUCCUACGGGAGGCAGCAGUGAGGAAUAUUGCGCAAUGGACGAAAGUCUGACGCAGCCAUGCCGCGUGCAGGAUGACGGCCCUAUGGGUUGUAAACUGCUUUUGUACAGAACGAAAAGGUUUCUACUAAUACUAGGAGCUCAUGACGGUACUGUAAGAAUAAGCACCGGCUAACUACGUGCCAGCAGCCGCAGUAA
rnacentral:rRNA from 1 species